UUUAAAGACACUAAAAUAUUCCUAUAUAUUUUUUGCAAAGACAUUUAUAACAUUUAUAACAGAACAAAUUAUAUUAAUCUGCUAAAGAAAUAUAUUAUUAUCUCAAUAGAAGCUGGAAAAGAGCAGAGCUGAACACCAAGAGAUAGAUAGCUGUAAAACCGGAAAGCUCUUCACAGAAUUAUACACACAAUCUCUUUAAUUCCCAAUCACAGCGACUUCCAUUCCCCAUCACGACUAUUUCAAUCAGCUCAUCUCUAAAUCUCAUAUGUUGUAUGACGCCAUGUUAGACACAUGGCAACGACUAAACUAGUCCAAUGUACCAUCGGUUCCAACUGUUUGUCGAUUGGUCCACGUCUCGCUGUCUGCUUGAGUGAGUUUUGUCAACAUGGAAAACGCCGCCGCCGCCGCCGCCGCCGCCUCAACGCCCAAACGCAUC